rnacentral:rRNA from 1 species
UACGAAGGGAGCUAGCGUUGUUCGGAAUCACUGGGCGUAAAGCGCACGUAGGCGGAUGUGUCAGUCAGGGGUGAAAUCCCGGAGCUCAACUUCGGAACUGCCUUUGAUACAGCACGUCUUGAGUCCGGAAGAGGUGGGUGGAAUUCCUAGUGUAGAGGUGAAAUUCGUAGAUAUUAGGAAGAACACCGGUGGCGAAGGCGGCCCACUGGUCCGGUACUGACGCUGAGGCGCGACAGCGUGGGGAGCAAACAGG